UGAGGAACAUGACCUUCGGCGGGGGAUAGCCGGCCCAACGGCCGGGUAAUACCGCGUACGACCACAUGGGGACAUCCCUGAGUGGUGAAAGCAGCAAUGCGCCGAUGGAGUGCCUCGCGGCCUAUCAGCUAGUUGGUGAGGUAACGGCUCACCAAGGCGACGACGGGUAGCUGGUCUGAGAGGACGACCAGCCACACUGGAACUGAGAUACGGUCCAGACUCCGUAGGGAGG
rnacentral:rRNA from 1 species